CCUACGGGAGGCAGCAGUGGGGAAUAUUGGGCAAUGGAGGAAACUCUGACCCAGCAACGCCGCGUGAAGGAUGAAGGAUUUCGGAUUGUAAACUUCUGUCGCGAGGGAUGAAGAAUGAUGGUACCUCUCUAGAAAGCCCCGGCAAACUACGUGCCAGCAGCCGCGGUAAUACGUAGGGGGCGAGCGUUAUCCGGAAUGACUGGGUGUAAAGGGAGUGUAGGCGGCUGAUUAAGCUUUGUGUGAAAGGCCGCGGGUCAACCGCGGAAUUGCACUGAGAACUGGAAAGCUGGAGUGCAGGAGAGGUAAGUGGAAUUCCCGGUGUAGCGGUGGAAGGCGUAGAUAUCGGGAGGAACACCAGAGGCGAAGGCGACUUACUGGACUGUAACUGACGCUGAGGCUCGAAAGCGUGGGGAGCAAACAGGAUUAGAUACCCUGGUAGUC
rnacentral:rRNA from 1 species